rnacentral:rRNA from 1 species
GACGAACGCUGGCGGCGUGCUUAACACAUGCAAGUCGAACGGAAAGGCUCCAGCUUGCUGGAGUACUCGAGUGGCGAACGGGUGAGUAACACGUGGGUAAUCUGCCCUGCACUUUGGGAUAAGCCUGGGAAACUGGGUCUAAUACUGGAUAUGACCUUUCUCCUUAUGGGGUUUGGUGGAAAGUUUUUCGGUGUGGGAUGAGCCCGCGGCCUAUCAGCUUGUUGGUGGGGUGAUGGCCUACCAAGGCCACGACGGGUAGCCGGCCUGAGAGGGUGAUCGGCCACAUUGGGACUGAGAUACGGCCCAGACUCCUACGGGAGGCAGCAGUGGGGAAUAUUGCACAAUGGGCGGAAGCCUGAUGCAGCGACGCCGCGUGAGGGAUGACGGCCUUCGGGUUGUAAACCUCUUUCAGCAGGGACGAAGCGUAAGUGACGGUACCUGCAGAAGAAGCACCGGCUAACUAUGUG